UCCUCAACUACUGUGCGGAAUUUAUACACAAACACAAAAUAGCAACUUUUUCAGCAGUAUCACUUCGAAAACACUUGUAUAUUUCCCCCCACAAAAGCUUUAAUAUUGAUGAAUCUGUGCAAGAACUGCGCAGUCAGAACAGUUAAAAUAUUUGAAAGGCAUUUUAAAAAUAAUCUCAGCAAGUACAAAAAUUUUAUAUUUGAUUGAAAUUUGUCUUCUAACAACACAAGACGCUAUUCCAAGUAUGUUUUGCACAGAUCCUCAACA